UACGUAGGCAGCGAGCGUUGUUCGGAAUUACUGGGCGUAAAGAGUGUGUAGGCGGUGCUCUAAGUCUGUCGUGAAAUCUCCCGGCUUAACUGGGAGGGUGCGGCGGAUACUAUUGUGCUAGAGGGUGGGAGAGGUAAGCGGAAUUCCUGGUGUAGCGGUGAAAUGCGCAGAUAUCAGGAGGAACACCGGUGGCGAAGGCGGGUCUCUGGGCCGAUACUGACGCUGAGGAGCGAAAGCGUGGGGAGCGAACAGG
rnacentral:rRNA from 1 species